GUUUUGGUCUGUGAUUUUAUUUGCUAAUUGAGGUUUGAUUAGGGUUUGUGUGGGGAUUGGAGGUUGUUAUAAAUAAGAUUAUAGCUUCAAGUUUGGGCUGAACCUUAGUUGCUGUGGUCUUGGACUUUGGUUUUGUAACUUUUUGAUAUGAAUUGUUGUGCAUCACAAGUCCUUGAGGUUGAAUCACAUGAGGUAUAGGCCACCUGGGUACGAGGAAUAGGCCACCUAAGUUACCUUUAAAUCCACUUGCAAGGGGAGAGUAGUUGGAGACUUAGUAACCUCUCACCAAAGUUGUCCCUUAGCAAUGUAGGAUCAUAACAAAAUUCCACUCUUGAAGAACCAACUCCUUAUCGGUCACAACCAUGCUGGUCACGGUCACAAUUAGUCAUACCUGGCACCUACACAUCUGACCACUUAUGUUUAUACAAUGGACUCAAGCUACCACUCCAUGGGCCCCUAGUGUUGGUGUCGUGGGGUGGGGCUAACUCUGAUACUAAUUGAUAUGAACUGAUGUGCACCAUAAGUCGUUGAGGUUGAAUCGUAUGAGGAUUAGACCACCUAGGUAGAACUAACCUUUGAAAACUGGCAUAAGGAUUUAUCAACCCCUUAACACUUUUGGAUCAUUAAGAACUUUAGUUCUGAAUUAACCAUGUGAUUCAUUAAUGUGUUGCCUCUCAAACCUUUACAUUUAAGUCAAU
rnacentral:misc_RNA from 1 species